CUCUUCCUCAUUGUCAUGUUGCCUGCAUCGAGAUUUAGAUUGGUGUGGAUAUUAGCAUAUUAUUACAAGGCGAGCCUGUGUGCUAAUACACCGAGCCGACUAACACAAAGUACCAGCGGACGGACUCCAGCCCGUGUUUCUGACCGCUUCGAACAGCAUCGGGAAAACAUCAAUAUGGCUCCCAAGAAUGUAAUAAUGGAAACCACUCCAUCGGAGGACAUGUUAACUGGAUCCUCUGAAGUGGAGCCAGUCAUCACAGCAGAAACACAUGCUCAGAAACGUCCCCCUAUGAAGAUAGUAUGGAAGAAUGUAGUGCUGUUUGCCAUGCUGCACCUGGCUGCAGUGUACUCGCUGGUACUCAUCCCCCAGGCCCACCUCUACACCUUGCUGUGGAGUGCUUUCAUGUACGUAUUUGCGGCCCUGGGCAUCACAGCAGGGGCACAUCGUUUAUGGGCACACCGUUCCUACAAGGCCAGAAUGCCAGUGCGUAUCCUGCUAGCUAUCAUGGAUUCUACUGCCUUUCAAAACUCUAUAUUUGAGUGGAGUCGUGACCACCGGUGUCAUCACAAGUAUUCGGAGACAGAUGCAGACCCCCAUAAUGCUAAGCGAGGGUUCUUCUUUUCCCACAUGGGAUGGUUGUUGGUGAAAAAACACCCUGAUGUCAUAGCCAAGGGAAAACAGCUGGAGAUGGCCGACCUUAAAGCUGAUCCUGUUGUCAGAGUCCAGGAAAAAUUAUAUGUUCCAUCUGUGCUGCUAUUCUGUUUCAUUGUGCCAAGCAUGGUACCGUGGUGUUUCUGGGGGGAGAGUCUGUUUGUAUCCUUCUACCUUGCUGCCAUCUUGCGUUACUGCCUGGGACUGAAUGCAACCUGGCUAGUGAACAGUGCUGCACACAUGUGGGGCAUGAGGCCCUACGACAAGCGCAUCAACCCGGCAGAGAACAUGAUGGUGGCACUGAGUGCUGUAGGGGAGGGAUUCCACAACUACCACCAUACCUUUCCUCAGGACUAUGCAACCAGUGAAUUUGGGUGGAAAAUCAACUUAACCACUUUCUUUAUUGACACCAUGGCGUAUCUAGGACAAGCUUAUGACCGACGCAAGAUUCCUGCAGAUGUUAUCAAGGCAAGGAAACUGAGGACAGGGGAAGGUAGCCCUUGAUUGAAGACUAUGGAGAUAGAUUGCUGGGUUUUGGUAGGAGUGGACACACAAGCUGCAACAAUGUUUCAGAAAACAAUCCUGGGUAUGACAAAAUAAAUCGACCAAAAGUUGA
rnacentral:misc_RNA from 1 species